GGAUAGUUGGCUGAGUGGUCUAUAGCAGCGCAUUGCUAAUGCGUCGAAUGCGGUGAACUCCGUGUUCCGCACGUUCGAAUCGUGCACUAUCCG
rnacentral:tRNA from 1 species